rnacentral:lncRNA from 1 species
CAUACUUUCAUAGUGAUCCAUUUUAUUUCGCCUCUAGCAGUAAACAUACAAACACUACCUUAGGUGAGAAUGAAGUGACAUCUCCAUUUGUUUAUCUUCUUCAGCAGAGCAGACCAGGGCUCGCAGCGAAAAUCCAGGAUCGUUCAGUGUGAUAUCUGUUCUGUUGAUAAGAACGUAAGACAGUUGUUGAGAAGACAUGAAGGUUAAGCUUUUGCAUGGCAUGCGGUAGCUUCAUGGACAUGGGGUGUUGAUGAUGAAACAUGCGCGAUAUGUAAGAGGGCUUUUGAUGGUUGUUGUGAUGCUUGUAAACUCCCUGGUGAUGACUGCCCACCAAUAUGGGGUGCUUGCAAUCACGCGUUCCAUCUUCACUGCAUUCUGAAAUGGGUGCAUUCACAGACUCCCCAGGCACACUGUCCUUUGUGCCGUAGAGAAUGGCAGUUUAAAGAAUGAACUUGGAAGUUAUCAUAUCCUUUAAUAAUCAAAUAUAUUUAAUGUAUGCCGACAAACAUUGUGAUUUGAACUUUGCCUGAUUACUACAUGAAUUCAUUGUUGCUAGCUUUUAAAUUCAUCUGCUAUCAAUGGUGGGAUAAAGCUGUUACAUGGGCAACUUUUGAUUAAAGUUUCAGUUCUUUUUGUUGGUCUAAUUACAGUAGUCAUAUAUAUGUGAUCAAAACAGGCAAGCAGGAGCAACUUUUUUACCCGUUUGACAUGGUACCAAUAAAAUAAAUACCUAUAACUGACCCACUUGUUCGCUAAUGGAUGAGAUUUGGAAUGUCUACUAUUUUCUUUGUAGAGGGUCAAAAUGGGUACUCAUGGGUGCCCGCUCCCUAUAUGAAUUUAUUUAACUAUACUAAUUUGUUCAAGCAUCUAUCAAAGUAAAGUACUAUUGCUUCCAACAUACUAAAGUUGUUCUUUUUAGAAGCGUAAAUUGCCAUUUUAGUCCUUGAGAUUUUAGUCCAAAUAGUUUUUCUUUCUCCUCUGGAUCCCUGAGUUUUCUAUUUUCUUGCCAUUUUGAUCACAUUGCCUAACUCUGUUAAAAACCCUCAGUUUUAACCAAGGGUAUUGAUGUGCGUGAAGUGUGUUAUAUUUU